rnacentral:rRNA from 1 species
UACGUAGGGACCAAGCGUUUUCGGAUUUACUGGGCGUAAAGGGCGCGUAGGCGGCAAUUCAAGUCAGUUGUGAAAUCUCCGAGCUUAACUCGGAACGGUCAACUGAUACUGCUUUGCUAGAGUACAGAAGGGGCAAUCGGAAUUCUUGGUGUAGCGGUGAAAUGCGUAGAUAUCAAGAGGAACACCUGAGGUGAAGACGGGUUGCUGGGCCGACACUGACGCUGAGGCGCGAAAGCCAGGGGAGCAAACGGG